AAGAACAGAAUUGGUAUUCAGUCGGCGAAGUUACUCCGGCAGCUGAAGCAGAAGGAUAGGCUCGUGCAUAAAGUCCAGAGGAACUGCGAUGUGGUGACCGCGUGCUUGCAGGCCGUGUCGCAGAAGAGAACAUGGCAGAACAGUAUGUUCAGGUAUGGUAAACGUAGGCACCAAUGAUGUGUUUUGCUAAAACUCCUGUGGCAGCUUUUCAGGUGCAUGUGAAAGUUGCCUCCUAUUGUUCCUUUACUCUGUCACGUUUUAUAUAUAAAGUGACACUUCCUAGAGGCUUUCUUGUAAGUUCCAGAUUCAGAUGUAUUUCUAUUGAUAAAAGAAUUCUCAGGGCUUGGUUAGUUUCAGAUAACAUUAAUGACUUAAAUGCUAUUCUUAUGUUUAUUAUUAAAAGAAAGUAAUAUGUUUUCUUCCUUCUCUUUUAUUAUAACACUGUUAUUCCCAAGUUAUUAUUCUUGCUAGUUACUAAGUAAGGUUUCAACAUAAUGUGUGUUAAAUACAGUGCUGCUCGUUUGUCACACUGAUACAAUGGCCCAUAAAGAAGGAGGAAUUAAUUGAGUAGACUGUUUUCAAAGGGAGUUUUCUCCACAGCCAGUUGUCUGAGAUGGCUGUAGAAGGAGGGUAUAGAUAUAGCUAUAGAUGUGUCUAUAUCUAUUCAUAAAAAACUGGCAUGCAUUAUAAGCACUUCACAUUUUCUUCAUGGAUUCUGAUUGAUUCACAAGUGUCCAGUAAACAUGUUAUUUUCUUCAUUUAAGAUACCUUGAU